AUGAACGCUGGCGGCGUGUCUUAGGCAUGCAAGUCGAACGUCCCUGGCCGCAAGGCUAGGGAAGUGGCAGACGGGAGAGGAUCACAUUGGUAACCUACCCCAAAGUUCGGAAUACCCCAUCGAAAGGUGGAACAAUACCGGAUGUGCUCAUCGGUCACAUGACCGAUGAGGAAAGCUCGCAAGGGCGCUUCGGGAGGGGCCUAUGGCUCAUCAGCUAGUUGGUAGGGUAAUGGCCUACCAAGGCGACGACGAGUAGCGGGCGUGAGAGCGCGACCCGCCCCACUGGGACUGAAACACUGCCCAGACUCCUACGGGAGGCUGCAGUCAAGAAUCUUCCGCAAUGGACGAAAGUCUGACGGAGCGACGCCGCGUGCAGGAUGACGCCCUUCGGGGUGUAAACUGCUUUUCCCAGGGACGAAUUUCUGACGGUACCUGGGGAAUAAGGGGCUGCUAACCUCGU
rnacentral:rRNA from 1 species